GUGUGUUGUUUUCAGAAAGCAUUCCGCUUUAAAAUUUGUGUGUAUCUGGAGUGAUAUAAUGUAAUCAUAUCAAGCGGGGAGUGUUCUGCCUUUGCAGAUGAAAAAGUUAAAAGUAAUAAGUUAAGUUAAAAUUCAUCAGUUCAUACGUAGAUUUAAAAAGUGUAUGUUCUUGGUUGUAAGAAACUGCGUCAGAGUGAGUGGUCUUUUCUUUGGUCUCGAGAAACCGCAUCGUAGUGAGCGCUCAGUGCGUUAGCAGCAGCUAUGUAACCAGCGCGGUUGUUCUCCUCAUUACAUGCUCAGGAGAGCUGAGGCACGCACAGACAGAUAAGCAGACUGUUAAAAUCAUAUUGUCAAAGGUUACAAACGCUUUUGCCUUGGAGAAUAUUUGUCUUUUUACGGUGAUGUUGGAAAAAAGAAGACUUCAUUAAAGGACAAGAAAAGUCAA